UACGUAGGGGGCAAGCGUUAUCCGGAUUUACUGGGUGUAAAGGGAGCGUAGACGGUGAUGCAAGUCAGAAGUGAAAGCCCGGGGCUCAACUCCGGGACUGCUUUUGAAACUGUGUGACUGGAGUGCAGGAGAGGUAAGCGGAAUUCAUGGUGUAGCGGUGAAAUGCUUAGAUAUCAUGAAGAACUCCGAUCGCGAAGGCAGCGUACCGGCUCCACACUGACGCUGAGGCACGAAAGCGUGGGUAUCGAACAGG
rnacentral:rRNA from 1 species